GUGGGACCUUACACUGCUGCUUCAUUAUUGAAGUGUGCAAUGACAGCCAGCUUCAGAAUAACCUUGUUUGCAGCAGGGUGAAACAAGAGUGAUAUUCUUGUCACAACUGCAAUGUAGCUGGUGACAGGAGUCGUGAGAGGCUGCACUUGAUUCUCCAGUGUCCUAUGGAAGAUGUCCACAGGAAAAGACCUACCUUAGGAAAGGCUGUGACAAAAUAUGCAACCCAGGAUGAUCACCAUGGGAGCAGCAAGAAGACUGAUUUCCCAAGGAAAGCCAUGAAGGGAAAACACUAGCCUUGCUGAUUGAAGACUGUGUUUCAAGCAGUAAAAGCUGGCAAUACUGAGAAGAAACAUAAGCUCGAGAAGGAACUCUGCUCCAACGAGUGCCCUGUUGUGAGAUAAGUUUUUCUUUUAGUGAUGAAUCAACAUAAUAAUCCAUCUGUAACACUAGAUGCGUCUGCCUGUACUACAGCAAAGGGCCAUCUGCCCAUCUGCAUAGAUGUUCAAAAUGCUGCUGGGACAACCAUGAUGGUCUCUUAAUGAAAGGCACUUGGCAAUUAGUACUUCAGUGAAAUCGUGCCUGGGUGGCUCUGAACUCCCAUUUGUCCUUCCCACUCCAAUGCAACAAGUGUCUGUAACUUUUUCUUUUUGUUUUUAUUCCAGCAUUUUCUCUUUAAAGCCUGGUGGGGAGGGGUGGACACGUUCUGAUGCCUGCAACAGCAGGAGCUGAGGCAAGUUGUAAUCAACAUAUGUCCUGUGUGAGCUGCGCGGCCGCGAAUUAGCAGGACAAACCGCUCCUCGUUUCCAAAAUACCCACCUG